GAUGAAGAACGUAGCGAAGUGCGAUAAGUAAUGUGAAUUGCAGAAUUCCGUGAAUCAUCGAAUCUUUGAACGCAAAUUGCGCUCCUUGGCAUCCCGAGGAGUAUGCCUGUUUGAGGGUCAGUGUUAAUAAAAAUCGGUUCGUUGCGAAUUUUUUGUGACGGUUCCGGAGUUUGGGUUAUCUUAACUUUUUUGGUUAAGAGGCUUAAAAUUGACCUUUUUUUUUGUGCAUUUUAGACGUACAUAAAUUUCUUUUAUUCGUCUAUUUAAUGCCAAAAUAUAUAUUAGAUGCGACCAUAUCGUGUGGUUCCGUGUCUAUAAAUUUUUCAUGAUUUGACCUCAAAUCAGGUAGGAGUACCCGCUGAACUUAAGCAUAUCAAUAAGCGGAGGA
rnacentral:misc_RNA from 1 species